GUGACAGAUGAGGGUGCAGUGGUGCUUGGGAUUAUGGGACAGAAUUGCUCCAGUACUGGAUGGGAUGUAUACUCCCUAAAGUCCCUUCUCCUUCCCGCCCAUCUUCUGCCUCAGCUGUUGAAAGCCAGGGGCUCAUAGGGAGUAAAAGGGAGAGAGCCAGGGAUGAAAAGGGAGCCUCUCUUCUCUCUCGCUAGACCAGACACCUGAUGCCGAGGAGGACCACACUGUCCUACGUCUGAGCCCACACAGUCCACCUCCUGUGGGAGUCACCAUGUCACCUGCAAGAUACAUCCGCUGUCAGAUGCCAGAAACAGCCCUCAGAGUCUCUCCACAAGCAAAAGCCAUCCUCAGAGAAAGAUGCUGCAUUGCAGAAAGAUGCCCUUGACCCCUUGCGAGUCUGGAGAGAUGACUUAGCGGCCAAGAACACUUGCAGGAGCUUCUAUGGAAACAAGUUCAGUCCCCGGAUUCAAUAGGGGUCCUAUAUCUCCACCUCUAAGGAAUCUGAUGCCCUCUUUUGACCUCUGUAGGUAACUGCUUUAGUGUACACCCAUCCACACAGAUGAGCAUGCAGACACAUAAUGAAAACAAUUCUCAAAUAAAAAGAUGGCUGUGUACUUGUAA